rnacentral:rRNA from 1 species
CAGCCGCCGCGGUAAUACGUAGGGUGCGAGCGUUAAUCGGAUUUACUGGGCGUAAAGCGUGCGCAGGCGGCCCGUUAAGACAGGUGUGAAAUCCCUGGGCUCAACCUAGGAAUUGCGCUUGUGACUGGCGGGCUCGAGUACGGUAGAGGGGGGUGGAAUUCCUGGUGUAGCAGUGAAAUGCGUAGAGAUCAGGAGGAACACCGAUGGCGAAGGCAGCCCCCUGGGCCUGUACUGACGCUCAUGCACGAAAGCGUGGGGAGCAAACAGGAUUAGAUACCCGGGUAGUCCACGCCCUAAACGAUGGGUACUAGCCGUUUGGUGCGCGAGAGCGCUGAGUGGCGAAGCUAACGCGUGAAGUCCCCCGCCUGGGGAGUACGGCCGCAAGGUUGAAACUUAAAGGAAUUGGCGGG